rnacentral:rRNA from 1 species
GGGGGGAGCAAGCGUUGUUCGGAUUUACUGGGCGUAAAGGGCGCGUAGGCGGUCAGCACAAGUCAGUUGUGAAAUCUCCGAGCUUAACUCGGAAAGGUCAACUGAUACUGUGCGACUAGAGUGCGGAAGGGGCAACUGGAAUUCUUGGUGUAGCGGUGAAAUGCGUAGAUAUCAAGAGGAACACCUGCGGCGAAGGCGGGUUGCUGGGCCGACACUGACGCUGAAGUGCGAAAGCCAGGGGAGCGAACGGGAUUAGAUACCCCGGUAGUCCUGGCCUUAAACGAUGAAUGCUUGGUGUCUGGGGUUAUAAAGUCCCCGGGUGCCGUCGCUAACGCUUUAAGCAUUCCGCCUGGGGAGUACGGUCGCAAGACUG